rnacentral:rRNA from 1 species
UACGUAGGGACCGAGCGUUGUCCGGAAUCAUUGGGCGUAAAGAGCGUGUAGGCGGCCCCUUAAGUCCUGCGUGAAAUCCUGCGGCUCAACCGCAGACGGUCGUGGGAAACUGGAGGGCUAGAGUGCGGGAGAGGAGAGUGGAAUUCCCGGUGUAGCGGUGAAAUGCGCAGAUAUCAGGAGGAACACCGGUGGCGAAGGCGGCUCUCUGGGACGGUACUGACGCUGAGACGCGAAAGCGUGGGGAGCGAACAGG